UAUAAAGUAAGCUAAUUAAAGCUAGUGGGCUCAUACCCCAAAUAUGAUUUAUCCUUUAUAA
rnacentral:tRNA from 1 species